rnacentral:rRNA from 1 species
UACGUAGGGUGCGAGCGUUAAUCGGAAUUACUGGGCGUAAAGCGUGCGCAGGCGGCGCCGCGAGUCGAGUGUGAAAUCCCCGGGCUUAACCUGGGAACUGCAUUUGUGACUGCAUCGCUGGAGUGCGGCAGAGGGGGAUGGAAUUCCGCGUGUAGCAGUGAAAUGCGUAGAUAUGCGGAGGAACACCGAUGGCGAAGGCAAUCCCCUGGGCCUGCACUGACGCUCAUGCACGAAAGCGUGGGGAGCAAACAGG